GGGACAGUGAAAAGCUCACUGUAGUAGAAAGAUAGAGCUAGCUGAGCCGGCAAGUGUUUGCAGAGCGACUAAGUUUGAGUCUCAGAAGCCAUGUCCAAAAACCAGACGUGGUGGAGUGUGCUUGUAAUCCCAACUCUGGGGAGAUGGAGACAGGCAGAUCCCUGGAGCUUGCUGGACAGCCAGUCCAUAUCUAUGGGGUUCUUUCUUCAGAACAAAACAGAACGCAUGCCUUUACUUCCCCUUUAGUAGUGGGAACAGACAUGAGUGGUACCCCUGUUUCCCAUGUUGACUGGAUGCUCCAUGCACUUUGCUUUCCUGAUUUAAUCUUAUAAUCUUGAACAUCAUACUUCUAAGGUUCUCCAUGGAGGCUCCAGCUACUCAAGGUAGCACCCUUCUGGUGGGUGAAUCAGCACCAAUGUUUCUAGAGCCAUCAUGAUGCAAGUAGAAUGACCAAGCCAGCCUGACUUCUUCAUUUUGAACCACAGCCUCAGUUGAGCACCCUGUUUAUUUGAGGUCCUUACUCAUAUGUUCAGCUGCUUCUGGGCCUAUGAUCUCCUCCAGCUGGGGUGUCACCUUUACUGAGGGAGCGGGACCUUCCUCAGUAUCAUCAUGCCAUGUUGGAGUUUCUGUCCCCCACCCUACCCGGCUCCUGUCCAUCUCAUCUGAAGUUAUGCAAGUCUAGAGACAGAUGUAGAGUGGGUUCUGAGCCACCACAUCCUCCACUAUGUCUUUAUUAGGCAGGGUACACACCCUACCUAACCUAUUCCUCUUCUCCAUGGCCCCAAAGUAGAAGCCUUUUGGCAGGAGCUACCCAAAGUGGGGCAUGGCUCCUUGUGCUCAGGAAUGGAGCCAUCAGUCAGGGCGGGUCAGAAAGAGCUUCGAGAGCAGCUUGUGAGACAGGUUCGAUCAGAUGCACAGCUUUCCCUAGCAACAUUUGGACAACUGAAGUUGCGCCUUUUCCACGAGGAAGUGUUAUCAAACUUGGGGGUCAUUUACUAUGCUCCAAGCUAGGUUUGGCCACCCACCACCCUUCAUAAGCCAAUUAAAGGAGCCAAAUUAAUAGUGGAAAGCAGAAAAAGAAUUAUUCAACACGCCCACAUUGGGAAGAGGGACAAAGGGAUCCAGCCACUGUCCAGGUCAUUUUCGGCAAGGUUAAGAUGGAGAGCCAAGGAUACGUGCAUAUGUAUGUCUAAGCAGUACCAGUCAAGGUGGAGGAGUCCCACCUAUCUCUCUGACCUAUCUGGGACUGUAAGGUGGUUUGACAAGUGGUUAGAACUGUGUGAAACCUGAUGGCUGGUACCUUUUCCUUCUCUGAGCAUGAGACUCCUGGAGAAAUCCCCAUUCUUUGGGAUCCUUUGUUUGAAUAGUCUGAUAAAUUGAGAUGCGUGGUGUCUCAUUAGAAUAUCUUCAUUUCUGCCAGGCCAGUUACACAGAGACAUUGUAUUAGUUGCUUUCCUCCUUGCUCUGACAGAACACCUAAUAGAAAUAACUUCUGAGAGGAAGGGCUUGUUUGGGUCGUGUUCCAAAGGGGUUCAGCCCUUCCUGGUGGGGAUGAGCACCGCGGCUGGGGCAGCCGAGAUGUUGGGAACUGUAGUCCUGGGGACUUAUGGCAUGGUCUGUUAAAUCCGAGUGGAUCAGGAAGCAAAGAGGUCUGGAAACAGAAGUUUCCAUAACCCUACAGCCCUCCACUUGUGGGUGAGGCCCCACCCCCUAAAGGUUCCAUAACCUCCCAAAAUAGUCUCAGUGUCAGCAGCAGGAGGUCGAGUGUUCAAACAAAGGAGCCUGCUGCUGGCACAUUUACAUUCAAACCAAAAUGUACACCUUUGAUGGGGACGGAAGCAGGCUGGGAAGAGGAUGUGAACAGCUGCCACCUCAAGACCUGGGUGGUCAGUUCAGGUGGGAGGGGGCCCUAAGGAUGGCCUGCUUCCAAGAACCUCGUUCCCAGGAGGCUAGCCCAAAGCAAAGGAAAAUCGGAGGAAGAACGCUUUGGGGGAAACAGGUGUGCCAUCCGUAUUCUCUCUCCCUGAGUCCUCACCACCAUCAUCACAACCACCAAACAGGCUAAGUAUGCACAACAGGGUCUGGUAUUAAAUUACAGUUCAUGAAAGCAAAGGAAAGACCCAGAGUCAUUGAGGAAGGAUGGGUGGCUUUCUAUAUACUUCAUCUAAAACUGGCAAAGAGGACAAGUAAAAAAAAAAAAAAAAAAAAAAAAAGACAAAAGGUACAGAACAAAAUGAGCAGGAUGCAGGCCCAGGAAGCAACGAGUGCUGUAAGUGGAUGAGCGGUUCAUGAAGGUGUGCGCAUGGACCAUUCUCUCGGGAGUCUGGGUGGUACACUGACGGUGAGCAGGAGCUGAGUCAGGAAGAAGGGCCCAUGGAGAGAGUGCGGGCAUCUGCUUCGAAUUUAGUGGUCCCGUUUGGAUGUUCUAGUCAUGUUCAAUGUUGCUUCUUUUCCUCUUGUUUUAUGUUUUCUGCAUACAUUACUUCUUAGAAACUAUCAGUAGGGAAGUCGUAAGAUACAGCUCACUUGGAGUUUUGCCAUUUUUUUUCAUCUAUGUAAAAAACUGAGUUCAGUGUGACUCAGUGCUAGAGUCCUUGGCUAGCACAUAUGAAACCCUAGCUUUUGUUGCCAGUAUAGAAAAAAAGUAAAUAAGUAGUAUUUUUAAAAGG
rnacentral:lncRNA from 1 species